rnacentral:rRNA from 1 species
AUGACCUUUGGGGCUCGCGCUCGGUUUGAUUGGCUGGAUGUCGGUUUCUUCGGUGCGCGGGGCAGCCUCUCCUGUCGCGCCGCGUGUGCGCGAAGGCCGCGUCAUGGGCGCUGCGUGGGUUAUGCGCUGCUCGGCCGACACAUAUAUACCUGGUUUUUGCGCCCGCACCUGCGCUGGACUGAUGACGGGUGGACCUGUACUGCUGCUGGCCCCGCUCAUCGGUUGAACUGGAUGCACGUCCCACAGUGUUUCUCUCGGGUGGGCCGGUCCUGCUGCUGGUCCCGCUCGUCAACUGCACGGACUUCGUCAUGUUGGUUGGUUGUGCGGACUGCGCCGGGUUGGCUGGGGCAUGUUCGCGUGGACCCCUGGCUGACCGAUGCAUCGUGUGCGCGUCCUGCGUGCCUCACCUCCGUCUGCGGUUGGAGAGAGGAGAUGGACUGGCAAAAUAUCUCGCGAGCCCACUUCCCGCAUCUCUAUCGCCCUAGCCGCCUCCACGCUCGUGCAUCCUCCCGCGUCAAUCGUGCCCAAACCUCCUCAUCUCGUAUCCCGUGGGACCGAGGUGCGGGCAUGGAGGCGAGCUUCCCUGGCGGCGGCGGCGGCCUGCAGGCAAAGGGUGACGGCGGCGGCGGCGCUGGAUUAGAUCUGCGGGAGAGAGAGAGGAUGAGAGGGGGAGAUAAGGAAGAAGAUGAGAGGGAGAGAGAGAGAGAGAGAGAGAGAGAGAGAGAGAGAGAGAGGAAAGGGGAGAGGGAGGGCUUCUACGUCGCCGCUCUCUGGAUGCACGCCAUCCACCCGCGCACGCUCGCCGCCAACCUCGCCGGCUUCGCCAGAGGCAAGCGACGCUGCGUCGGCGGCCUUGCCGCCGCCGCGGCUGAGGCCGCCAAGGCCCGGCGCGAGAAGGAGGCGGAGCACGCGCAGGCCGUGCUCGCGCACAACGACUCUGACGAGGCCUUCUGCAACCUCUACGACGGCGUCGCCGACAUCUUCGCCGGGCUACUCAAGUCGGACCAGGAGCACCUGCACGCGGGCGACACGGAUCGUGUUCACCGCCAAGUGGUGCCCGUCGCUGCGCCUGUCUACGCCUACCGCGUCCGCAACCGGCUCCACCGCGAGGUGCAGGUGCCGCUCCGCAAGGUGCUCGAGCUCCCCGAGGUCUACAUGAGCGCCGGAAGUGGGACGAGCUGCCCUGCGCGCGCUUGGCGUCCACGGCCAUCCGCCGGUACAAGUGGCGUCCUGGCUGUUCUUCUUUCUUCUGGUGUCUGCAUCAGGGCCGUCUCCAAAAAUUCUGGGGCCCGCCAACAGACUAAAAAACCACAAGCUAUAGUAAGUCAGAUCGUCAGAGAAGGCACCUUCCUGCGAUGCAGGCACAGACGACUUGCUGUUGCUGUACCAUAUGAACAUUCUUCAUGUGAGAAGGGAUAUAGGCUGCACCUCCGGGGAGGAAACAAAGCGAUCAAACUAGACAACGCCGCUAGCCUCCGCCACCGUGCGGCGGCGCCACACUUCGUUCGUCUCGGGAAGAUGGAUAUCGAUCGGCUGCAGGCUGCGUCAAUCCGGACUCAGAAAAGGUCAUACGGGAAAUUGAGGAGAAGGCCCAGUUUGGGAGAGCCAUGGGCCUGUAUUAGUUGUAAGAAUGGCCCAAAAUUAAGGAGACAUAGGCCUAGAAUCGGGGCCCCCUGGAAUUUGGGGGCCCUGUGCGGUCGCCCAGCCCGCACAGGCCCUUGGACGGCCCUGGUCUGCAUAUACCAUGGGUUGUGCGCUUGUGUGCUCAUGUUGAUGUUGGCAUGGUUUAUAUUGUCUAUUCUUUCUGCUUGA